rnacentral:rRNA from 1 species
GAUGAACGCUGGCGGCGUGCCUAAUACAUGCAAGUCGAGCGAACGGACGAGAAGCUUGCUUCUCUGAUGUUAGCGGCGGACGGGUGAGUAACACGUGGAUAACCUACCUAUAAGACUGGGAUAACUUCGGGAAACCGGAGCUAAUACCGGAUGAUAUUUUGAACCGCAUGGUUCAAAAGUGAAAGACGGUCUUGCUGUCACUUAUAGAUGGAUCCGCGCUGCAUUAGCUAGUUGGUAAGGUAACGGCUUACCAAGGCAACGAUGCAUAGCCGACCUGAGAGGGUGGUCGGCCACACUGGAACUGAGACACGGUCCAGGCUCCUACGGGAGGCAGCAGUAGGGAAUCUUCCGCAAUGGGCGAAAGCCUGACGGAGCAACGCCGCGUGAGUGAUGAAGGUCUUCGGAUCGUAAAACUCUGUUAUUAGGGAAGAACAGAUGUGGAAGUAAAUGUGCACAUCUUGACGGUAACUGAUCAGAAAGCACCGGCUAACUACGUG